rnacentral:rRNA from 1 species
CACGUAGGCACCAAGCGUUGCCCGGAUUUAUUGGGCGUAAAGAGCUCGUAGGCGGUUCGAUAAGUCGGGUGUGAAAACUUUGGGCUCAACCCAAAGCGUGCAUUCGAUACUGUUGUGACUAGAGUUCGGUAGGGGAGUGGGGAAUUCCUAGUGUAGCGGUGAAAUGCGCAGAUAUUAGGAGGAACACCGGUGGCGAAGGCGCCACUCUGGGCCGAAACUGACGCUGAGGAGCGAAAGCGUGGGGAGCGAACAGG